GGAGGAAUACCCAAGUGGUUGAAGGGACCGGUCUUGAAAACCGGCAGGUCGUGAAAGCGGCGCCAGGGUUCGAAUCCCUGUUCCUCCG
rnacentral:tRNA from 1 species